GUAGGUGGCAAGCGUUGUCCGGAAUUAUUGGGCGUAAAGCGCGCGCAGGGCGGUCCUUUAAGUCUGAUGUGAAAGCCCACGGCUCAACCGUGGAGGGUCAUUGGAAACUGGGGGACUUGAGUACAGAAGAGGAAAGCGGAAUUCCAAGUGUAGCGGUGAAAUGCGUAGAGAUUUGGAGGAACACCAGUGGCGAAGGCGGCUUUCUGGUCUGUAACUGACGCUGAGGCGCGAAAGCGUGGGGAGCAAACAGGAUUAGAUACCCUGGUAGUCCACGCCGUAAACGAUGAGUGCUAAGUGUUAGGGGGGUUUCCGCCCCCUUAGUGCUGCAGCUAACGCAUUAAGCACUCCGCCUGGGGAGUACGGCCGCAAGGCUG
rnacentral:rRNA from 1 species